CCUACGGGGGGCAGCAGUGGGGAAUAUUGGACAAUGGGCGAAAGCCUGAUCCAGCAAUGCCGCGUGAGUGAUGAAGGCCUUAGGGUUGUAAAGCUCUUUUACCAGGGAUGAUAAUGACAGUACCUGGAGAAUAAGCUCCGGCUAACUCCGUGCCAGCAGCCGCGGUAAUACGGAGGGAGCUAGCGUUGUUCGGAAUUACUGGGCGUAAAGCGCGCGUAGGCGGUUUUUUAAGUCAGAGGUGAAAGCCCAGUGCUCAACACUGGAACUGCCUUUGAAACUGGAAAACUUGAAUCUUGGAGAGGUCAGUGGAAUUCCGAGUGUAGAGGUGAAAUUCGUAGAUAUUCGGAAGAACACCAGUGGCGAAGGCGACUGACUGGACAAGUAUUGACGCUGAGGUGCGAAAGCGUGGGGAGCAAACAGGAUUAGAUACCCGAGUAGUC
rnacentral:rRNA from 1 species